rnacentral:rRNA from 1 species
UACGGAGGGUGCAAGCGUUGUCCGGAUUUAUUGGGUUUAAAGGGUGCGUAGGCGGCCCGUUAAGUCAGCGGUGAAAUCCCAGGGCUCAACCCUGGAACUGCCGUUGAUACUGGCGGGCUUGAGUUCGGUCGAGGCGGGCGGAACUGGUGGUGUAGCGGUGAAAUGCAUAGAUACCACCAAGAACCCCGAUUGCAUAGGCAGCUCGCUAGGCCGAAACUGACGCUGAGGCACGAAAGCGUGGGGAGCGAACAGG